rnacentral:tRNA from 1 species
GCGGGUGUAGUUUAGUGGUAAAACCUCAGCCUUCCAAGCUGAUGAUGAGGUUCGAUUCCCUUCACCCGCU